CAACCAGAAAAAAGCAGAGAGGAGGGUGGAAGCAGCUUGGCUCGGAGGAUCGGUACGGAGGUGCAACAUGUGCGUGUUUGGAUGCUGUUUUUUUGUCGACUUUUUUUGCCGUAGCUAAGUGUGCGUGCAUGCUCGCUCCGAAGGACGGGAGCUCGCUCUUGGUGAUCGUGAGUGCUGGGCGUGUCGUCUAGCAAGCGGCGGCGGGAGGUAGGGAAGCGUGGUCUAGGUAGGGAAGCGGCGGCGGCUAGGUAGGCAAGAAGCACGGGCUGCAGCGACUGGGGCGGAGGCGCGGCGAGCGGGCUCGGAAAGAGUCAAGGAGAGGCUGCGCCGGCUGUUCGGGGGCGUCGAGGAGGGGCAGCUUUGGCGCGGGCAGCGGGUUGCCGAGAAGGAGCUCAAGGGACCGAGGCUGCUCCCGGGCGGGUUCCGGUUCCCCUUCCCCCCUGUGCCACCCUCUCCUCUUACCUCCCUAGUCCCUCCGCCACGUCUCCAAGCUCCCCAUCCUCCAGCUCCGCGAGCUCGCCUUCCUCCAGCGGAAGUCCGAGUAGCAAGUCUACGAGCCCCCGCUCCCGCCCGACCUCCGGCUGUUCCAACGGUUCCAGUCCUUUCGACGGCGUACCGUCCAGGCAAGCGAGUGCCUAAAAGAGUUCUCUAUUACGCACACAGGAGGAACGAAUUCGUGGUCGGACUACCCCUGAAACUCUCCAACGGCGGCUACCGCGCAGGUUUGGUCUACGUAGUAGUAGUCAGCGGGGGUUACGGAUUAAAGGCACCUUUACCAAAACCGGGCACCUUGGUGUCCCGCGUAGGUCUCUCCCAUCCAAAAGGAGUUCCUGGGCACCCAACCGUUCCUCGUGGUGUUUCGGGGAGAGGUAUGUAACAGUUCUUCUAAAACGCCAACCUCUAUGGUUGUCUAUGAAUGGGAUUAAAGUUAAAAUAACCGGCAGAAGAACCCGGUUUCCCUUUGAGCAACUUCUCCUAACUUCGGUGAUGUCCAACAGCACAAAAAUAGUCUCCCUUCCCGAGUUAAUUUCUAGGACCCUUCAUUGGAUGGUGCGCGCGGCUCCGCUCCCGGAGCACCUGAGGCAGGUAGCGGCGAACCGGCUGCUGGGACGGCGAACCGGCUCCUGGAGCACUACAUAGUUAAUAAAGAGUCGAACCGCGUACGUAAUGCCGUCGUGCGGCGCGCGUCAAAGGAACCUAAGAUAAAGUAGAGGAGGGCAGGCGAAGGAGAUUAACACUCAAAACCAACAUUACACAAAAUGUCUAAGGGUAGAUGACAUGAAGGAUACAUCACGUAUAGGGCAAGGAGGAAAAUGUCCGAAGAGUUUAGUAAGCAAGCAAGCACGACCAGUAGGAGGAUGUAGACGGACAGAGCGAGAGGCUAACUAAUUAGCACAAGUAACCCUAAAUUUUUCUCCUUGUACCUAAAAACAACCACUGAACAUUCGUCGUUGUUCUAGAACGUUAAAGAUUAAAAGAUCGGUAGGUGCACUCAUGUCUAGUCCGCUCAUGGAGCCCCGUCUCGGGCGCGACGGCAUGGACUCGGGGAUGUACGCGCCGCUCUUGGACGAGCAGCCGCGUUUGAAGCGCAGGUGGCCGCAGCUGUAGGAGUUGCUGUGUCCGCACGUUAAACUAGCGCGUCGUCGACGUCUUGAAGGUCCUGAUGGUCGUCUCCGACCGCCGCAUGCAGCCGCUCCUGCGCCGCUCACUCGCGUACUCGGUCAGCGAUAACGAGUAGUGCGAACCACCGUUGCUGAAGCAGUUGUUGAUGACGGACCACGGGAAGAGGCGAUCCAGGGUCGUCAAGCUCUAGGUGUCGAUGUAGGGGAAGUAGUAGAGGCUCAUGUUCUUUCAGGAGCGCCCACUAUACCUACUUCCUUUUCUCCGGUCGUCACGACUCGAUUUGUUAAGUCCCUCCAUAACCUAACCGGAGACAUCUUUGAUACCGUGGAUUAGAACCCGGGGAUCUUCUUCCUUUGAGUUGUACGCACUAAGAGUAAUCUCCGUUGGUCUGGCAACAACUUUUAUAACUACUAAGGACAACACAUAAGGGUUCCUUACCAGUCCAAAUCAUGACUGGCAACGCCACGCAUCUUCUUUCCACGGUGAAAGUGAAUCAAGAGAGUCAAGAUUCAACCCUGACGUUUUUAAACUCCUAAAGGGGUGUACACUCAACGGAACUAAUCAAAACCGAAUCAAUAACUUUACUUGACCUUCAUUGAAGACUUAAACAAACUGAAACCUGAACGUACUCUGGACUUCAAAGACGAAGAUCGUAAAGAGAAAACAUUCGUCGUACCGUUUGGGCCAAAGUUUCAUUUCUGGACUCCUUCUUACAUCUAACUAGUGACACUAAAGUUCAGGAAUUCUCGACCUCGACAAUUCUGAACUCUGUUUAUAUAUGUCCCGGUGUUCCCGGAUGUUCUAGGUUAAGUACAAACUGCCAAGCAGUUUUAUUUGUUCCUCAUAACUACCCAUUUCUUCUUUCAACUCCGUGUAAUUAGUUUGCGGUUGGGUGGACGAUAACCGUGAUUUACUCCUUCCUUUUUCUUGUAACAGGGACUUCCGAGCUCUAUGUGUUUGUCCGUUGACUCAAACCCUUUCCACCAACAGAGGAACUGCGUGUGGUACCACGGGAACAGAUGAGAGACAGAAGAAGGAACCUGUAUGUGGAAUAAAUGAGCAUCAUCCAAGAGAGCAUGGUAAAAAGCCACCUCAACAUGACCGUAGGAACUGACUUCAAAGAAAGUUGACUCUGUUUUGUACUGUUCUUUCCCCUUGUUGAUUGGAUGUACCUCGAACCAGUUCCAGCGGCGAGUACAAACUACCGUAACAAAGACCAAGGUGACUGUAACAGCUACGGACAAUGGAUACCGGGACAACGACGAAAGGAGCUAUCCCGCACCAGGUAGUCGGUGACGUACGUCUGUUAUCUUAAAUCCGGUCGUUAACAGCGAAUAGAUGAUAGAUACGAUGUCUAGCUGGGUAUCUGUCCCUUUCCUUCGCUACCGACCACCCCUCUCCUCGGCCCCCUGCACAACACUGCCCUGUUCUCCGCGUCACCGUCCCUCUCUUCAACUUCUGAUGCGGUACACUCAACGACUUCGACACGGAAUACGCCACCCCUAUUCCCUACACACUACACGAACACACCACUCUCUGCUCCUCACCGAAAAGGAAAAACACCCUCCGACAAGUAUAAACAGAUAAGAUAAAAAUAUAAGUUCUAUGUAUGUUAAUAAAUAGUAGUAAUAUUAGCUC
rnacentral:rRNA from 1 species